CAGUCGCCGCGGUAAUACAGAGGGUGCGAGCGUUAAUCGGAUUUACUGGGCGUAAAGCGUGCGUAGGCGGCUUCUUAAGUCGGAUGUGAAAUCCCUGAGCUUAACUUAGGAAUUGCAUUCGAUACUGGGAAGCUAGAGUAUGGGAGAGGAUGGUAGAAUUCCAGGUGUAGCAAUGAAAUGCGUAGAGAUCUGGAGGAAUACCGAUGGCGAAGGCAGCCAUCUGGCCUAAUACUGACGCUGAGGUACGAAAGCAUGGGGAGCAAACAGGAUUAGAUACCCUAGUAGUCCCUGUCUCUUAUAC
rnacentral:rRNA from 1 species